GACGAACGCUGGCGGCGUGGAUUAGGCAUGCAAGUCGAACGGUAGGAUACCUUCGGGUAUCUGAGAGUGGCGAACGGGUGAGUAACACGUAGGUGAUCUACCCUCAAGAUUGGGACAACCCAGGGAAACUUGGGCUAAUACCGGAUGAAAGCAGCAGUGAUGUUGUUUGAAAGGUGGCGUAAGCUGCCGUUUGGGGAUGAGCCUGCGCUCUAUUAGUUAGUUGGCGGGGUAAAGGCCCACCAAGGCGAUGAUAGAUAGGCGGCCUUAACGGGUGGUCGCCCACACUGGGAUUGAGAUACGGCCCAGACUCCUACGGGAGGCAGCAGUCGAGAAUAGUCUACAAUGGCCGAAAGGCUGAUAGUGCGACGCCGCGUGAACGAAGAAGCCCUUCGGGUGUAAAGUUCUUUUAUAUGUGAGCAGUGCUUCUAUGUGAACAGCAUGGGGAGAGAGAUAUUAGCAUAUGAAUAAGCAACGGCUAACUCCGUGCCAGCACG
rnacentral:rRNA from 1 species